AGCGGCGGAUGGGUGAGUAACACGUGGGGAACCUGCCCCUAAGUCUGGGAUACCAUUUGGAAACAGGUGCUAAUACCGGAUAAUAAAGCAGAUCGCAUGAUCAGCUUUUGAAAGGCGGCGUAAGCUGUCGCUAAGGGAUGGCCCCGCGGUGCAUUAGCUAGUUGGUAAGGUAACGGCUUACCAAGGCGACGAUGCAUAGCCGAGUUGAGAGACUGAUCGGCCACAUUGGGACUGAGACACGGCCCAAACUCCUACGGGAGGCAGCAGUAGGGAAUCUUCCACAAUGGACGCAAGUCUGAUGGAGCAACGCCGCGUGAGUGAAGAAGGUUUUCGGAUCGUAAAGCUCUGUUGUUGGUGAAGAAGGAUAGAGGUAGUAACUGGCCUUUAUUUGACGGUAAUCAACCAGAAAGUCACGGCUAACUACGUGCCAGCAGCCGCGGUAAUACGUAGGUGGCAAGCGUUGUCCGGAUUUAUUGGGCGUAAAGCGAGCGCAGGCGGAAAAAUAAGUCUAAUGUGAAAGCCCUCGGCUUAACCGAGGAACUGCAUCGGAAACUGUUUUUCUUGAGUGCAGAAGAGGAGAGUGGAACUCCAUGUGUAGCGGUGGAAUGCGUAGAUAUAUGGAAGAACACCAGUGGCGAACGCGGCUCUCUGGUCAGCAACUGACGCUGAGGCUCGAAAGCAUGGGUAGCGAACAGGAUUAGAUACCCUGGUAGUCCAUGCCGUAAACGAUGAGUGCUAAGUGU
rnacentral:rRNA from 1 species